GUAUCACAGAGGAACGACGACCACGCUACCAAGGCCUUGUGACCGAAGUGCUAUUGCCUGAAGCUAGCUCCGCUCUGACCCUGCGCCCCUUUUCACGCUGAUGCGGCUGCUUCUCUGGCACCGUCAUGGCCAAGCAGCUCAACCAACGGAGCCACCACCGCGGACAGCCGCAGCGCCAUCACACUCUGGACUGCACGACUUCGAUUCACCAUGGCAUCAAAAUGCAGAGCAUGCUGCAACAGUGGUGAUUGUCGAUUUGGUUGGGUGAGAGGACGAUAAAGCACUCAGACACAUCACUUUGUGACUUAGACACAUCAAUUUGUGAAGAGACGCUGAAUAUUGGGGAGCUUCCCAUCGAUGGAGGGAAGAAAAGGGGAUCAGGGGGAAGAAAGCAAGAGACGAGCCAGAGAUGCAAAGAGAUAAGCUUCUGCGCGUGCUCUAUGUGUAUGACCUUAUGCAUGCCGCGUGUAUCGGCUGUCUGAACUGGGCCCACAGUGUAUAACUACUAUACUAUUUGGGAACUGACUUCCUUUUUGUAAGAGUUUUGAGUUUUUUUGGAGGUUAACAUGAAGAUGACACGUAUAUAAGUUUGUGGUUAA